rnacentral:rRNA from 1 species
UACGAAGGGGGCUAGCGUUGUUCGGAGUUACUGGGCGUAAAGGGCGCGUAGGCGGCGCACCAAGUCAGGCGUGAAAGCCCUGGGCUCAACCCGGGAAUUGCGCUUGAGACUGGUGUGCUUGAGUACGGGAGAGGAUAGUGGAAUUCCCAAUGUAGAGGUGAAAUUCGUAGAUAUUGGGAAGAACACCGGUGGCGAAGGCGGCUAUCUGGACCGUAACUGACGCUGAGGCGCGAAAGCGUGGGGAGCAAACAGG